rnacentral:rRNA from 1 species
GUCUUUUUGAUUAUAAUUUAAGGUCUAAUCUGCUCAAUGAAAAUUUAAAUAGCCGCAGUAUCUUGACUGUGCAAAGGUAGCAUAAUAAUUAGUCUCUUAAUUAGAGACUUGUAUGAAUGAUUGGACAAGAAAAUUUCUGUCUCUUAUUAAUUUUUUUUGAACUUAAUUUUUAAGUUAAAAUGCUUAAAUUUUUGUAAAAGACGAGAAGACCCCAUAGAGUUUUAUUUUCAUUUAUUUUUAGCAUAAUUUAUUAAAUGAUAAAUUGGUUGGGGUGACUUAAAGAUUGAAUAAACUCUUUAAAUUUAAAUCAUUGAUUUAUGAAUUAUUAGUCUAAUUUUUUAAGUUUAAAUUAAAUUACCUUGGGGAUAACAGCGUAAUUUCUUUUAAGAGUUCUUAUCAAAUAAGAAGAUUGCGACCUCGAUGUUGGAUUAAAAUUUAUUUUAGGUGCAGAAGCUUGAAAAUUAAGCCUGUUCGACUUUUAAAA